CUGCCUUCUUUUCUUUCCUUUUUUUUUCAUGCAUUUAUCCCACCAGAUGAUAGACACAAGUCAUGAAAGCCAUUCAUCUGGUCGACCAUCCUAGCUGAAACCAGAAAAUUCUGUCUGGUCUGCAGGGGCCUGUUCGGUAAAAGUAAAAGCUGAGGAAGGAAAUGAAUGAACCGUGUGAUCUGGUAGGCGAAAACCAUCACGUCGUAAGCCAGAUUGAGGGGUGUAGACCUUGAUAUGUACAAAGAAGCUUUUCUUCCAACGACAUUAGAAUAAGUCAGCAAUUAGAUUUGUUGCUGUAAAAUGAUGAUCGUGCCUUCUUGAGUCUAGUGGAAGCUGAACUAGUAAUAAUUGGCAGGUCGGUUAAUUGUAUGGUUGAGCUUGCACAAUUCUACCAUGAUGGACUGUGUAAUCUGUGUCUUUCCAAACGAGUACCAUCUACAGACACUGGAAACAGUAUUGAAUGCAUUUCCCCAUCUACAGAUUGGCACUUUAUAUUUUUUUUAGCUUGAUCCUGGUGCAAUUGCCAGUGUGAAUUCCUGAUUUUAUUGUUUCACAACCAAGGACUAGCCCUUCACCUUCAUGCCCUUGAUUAAUUUGCAUUGCUUUGCCGAGCUUUUGUUAUCUUGAAAGUUAGAUAGUGAUUUUAUAAUUUGUACCACUGUAAAGAAACAAUUACAUAUGACUGCAAUCAGGAGGUCAGCUAAAAUAAGCCCAGAUGCAUUUGAGUUCUAUCUGAUGGUAAUUUUACAUAGCAAUUUACUGAGUCAUGAUGUCACAGCCAGCUAUUCGGUUUUUUUUUGGGGGGGGGGGGGGGAGUAAAAGCUGUGGCAGCAGGCCAAAUUAUAUCAAUAUAUAUUAGCUGGUCUUGUGGUGGUGCUAUUGUUAGAUGAUGAAAAUACAAUUUUACGGUCUCUAUUUUCUACUAAAAUAUCUGGCAUAGUUAUAAGUUCCAUGUAUUGUUAAUUAAUUGCUAUUUAAUUUUUAAUUUUCAGAGCGAACUGAAGCCAUUUGUAAAAUUAUUUUUUCAGCCAAAUGUUCAUGUCAAAACAGCAAUCUCUUAACGUAUGGACUGAUUGUUAAUCUUUACUGCCUCCAGUCCUGAGAGUUCUUGCAAGUUUAAUCUUUUGCCAAGUUUUGCAAUGCUAUUGGAAAGGUGAUAGACGCCCAAGUUGACUGUAACUUCAUAUGUAUCACUUCUCACAUUUACUCUCUGUGUACAUCCAGAUGGGCUCGAUUAUGUCGACCAACUGCUGGGUGCAUGUGUCAAGAAACUUUUAGCCAAGGCAAAACUUGAAGAUUUCUGGGAAACAAAACAAAUUGCUGCACUUUAGUGCUCCUUGGAUAUAUUGUUUUUUGCAAAAUGGAGCUUAUUACCUCUGAUCGUUAUAUCAAAUUGAUACAACCAUAUAAUAGUUUACUCUCAGUCUCUGCAUAACAUGAUGCAUACAACCACAAUGUAAGAAACAACAACGACAUAAAAUAAAAAAAAAGUCUAAUAAGAUGAAAAUACAUCCUUUUAGUUGUAGUUGUGGUUAUUCUGUUUGGGCUUAGAUGUGGAAUCUAAAUUGAUAUCCAAAUGGCCGUCCGCUCUAGUCGCAUACAUGCUAUAGUAAUUAUCUUGUGAUUCUCGUAUCAUAUAGUAUAAAUGACGAACGGAGCUAGUAUGUAUAAGUAAACCUUUUAGUUUGAUUUAAGCUCUAUUUAAAUUCAUCUUGAUCCUCAGACAAAGUGAUGUUGGUGAGACGUGCUGUUAAUUCAUUCCAUGUGAUUAACUUUGGGUCAGUCAGGUCCUGCCUGAAUGCAAUAUUGGUGGGGAAUGACUAUCGCCUUGGCUACUGACGUUUGUUUCACACAAUGUUAUACAAUGAGGAAAAUUGGACUCUUAGUGACGACUUUCUUAACAAAAUAUCCUUCCAAAAUAUAAUUUUAGAGCUGUCCUUUAUGUUAAAAGUAACAUUAGAAUAUGAUGCUUUUUACUUUUAUUAGUCCAGCUCAAAAGUAUAAGUCAACUGGUCUUCCUUCAACUUGUGAAAGUGGUUUUGAUCCCAUAUAUUUAUUUCUUAGUUCUUGCCAAUUUCUAACCUCAAUGAGUAACUUAUAUAACCACUGACAUAGUCCUUUAUCCCUAAUUCAUCUAGGUCCUUGGUUUACAUAGGAUUUUUUAUUUCGCCAGGCGAUACUUCUUUUUGUGACUAUCGUUUUGCCAAUAGAAUCUUGAUCGAAAAUAAUCAAUCUUUUUUAAACCCCAUGUGGAUUUGAAAUAGUGACAUCAUAUAGAUGGGUAGGCUGUUAAGAAUUGAGUUUAGAAGUACCAGUCUACCAUUCGCAGUUAAGCAUUUGACUUUUUAGUUCCUCAAUCUUUUCUUUAUUUGUUUCUCUACUCCUUUUCGAUCCGAAUUUCUAAGUUUUUGAUAGUGAAUUGGGAUUCCUAGGUACCGCAAAAGUAACUCAUUGCACAUCCAAAUAUAUCGGUAUAUUGAUCGAUCUUGUCUUAGCCAUCCCAGAGCAAAAUAAUUCGCUUUUAUAGAAGUUUAUUUUUGAUCCUGACAGCCGCUCGAAAGCACAAAGCAAGAGCUUCAUA